GCCAUGUUUCCCUCGGGACACCGGAGACAGGUGGUGCAUGGUUGUCGUCAGCUCGUGUCGUGAGAUGUUGGGUUAAGUCCCGCAACGAGCGCAACCCCUAUUUCCAGUAGCCAGCAUUUAAGAUGGGCACUCUGGAGAGACUGCCCGGGAUAACCGGGAGGAAGGCGGGGAUGACGUCAAAUCAUCAUGCCCCUUAUGAUCAGGGCUACACGCGUGCUACAAUGGCGUAAACAAAGGGAAGCAAAGCGGUGACGCCAAGCAAAUCCCAAAAAUAACGUCCCAGUUCGGAUUGUAGUCUGCAACCCGACUACAUGAAGCUGGAAUCGCUAGUAAUCGCGGAUCAGAAUGCCGCGGUGAAUACGUUCCCGGGUCUUGUACACACCGCCCGUCACACCAUGGGAGUCGGAAAUGCCCGAAGUCAGUGACCCAACCGUAAGGAGGGAGCUGCCGAAGGUGGAGCCGGUAACUGGGGUGAAGUCGUAACAAGGUAGCCGUAUCGGAAGGUGCGGUUGGAUCACCUC
rnacentral:rRNA from 1 species